UGGGGAAUAUUGCACAAUGGGCGCAAGCCUGAUGCAGCCAUGCCGCGUGUAUGAAGAAGGCCUUCGGGUUGUAAAGUACUUUCAGCGGGGAGGAAGGCGAUAAGGUUAAUAACCUUGUCGAUUGACGUUACCCGCAGAAGAAGCACCGGCUAACUCCGUGCCAGCAGCCGCGGUAAUACGGAGGGUGCAAGCGUUAAUCGGAAUUACUGGGCGUAAAGCGCACGCAGGCGGUCUGUCAAGUCGGAUGUGAAAUCCCCGGGCUCAACCUGGGAACUGCAUUCGAAACUGGCAGGCUAGAGUCUUGUUGAGGGGGGUAGAAUUCCAGGUGUAGCGGUGAAAUGCGUAGAGAUCUGGAGGAAUACCGGUGGCGAAGGCGGCCCCCUGGACAAAGACUGACGCUCAGGUGCGAAAGCGUGGGGAGCAAACA
rnacentral:rRNA from 1 species